UGAGGCAAUAGACAUAGCUUCAUGCUCUUUGUCUAUAGCAAUCCGUGUCGCCCUUUGCAGAGACCACUACUCAGCUAAAGCUGGAUCUGCGACUUUGCCAUUUGAAAGAAUUUUAUAAUGUUCCAGAAUGAAUAAGAGCUGGAGUUUCUCAAAGGGUUUGAAAUGUAGACCUAGGUACGAGGAUUAGUAGAAAGGGGGAAAAGUAGGUUUCUCCCUACAGUGUGGGUAUGAGCUUCUGCAGGGAGGGGCACACGUCAGCGUGUUUACAGUGGCCGUACCUACCAUUUUGAUUCCCACCCAGAAACCAGCUGAUUUGGUGGAGGUGAAAUCAAGAUGGAGCCACGGAGAAGUAUUAAAAGAAAGGAACAAUUGGCACCAAAGUUCUGCAAAAUACAAACGUGUAUUGACUCUGGGGUCUCAACAUAUGCAUGUUUGAGUCCCUGAACGACUCCAAUGGCCAUAGCAUGAAGUCCCCACUUGAGGCUCGCCUCAAGCCCCUUGUCAUUUGAUGCAUCCAAGUCCUUCCUUUGUAGCUCUUCCAUAUGUCUGGGUGACAAGUAGAACAUGGACUUCACAGGCGAGCCUGCUAAAUCCUGGUGAAUUGGUGUAAUGAGAUGUUAACGACAAAGCUGUGAGACACAGGCAACUCAAGUUGAACCAAAAUUCCAACACGCACUGGCUCUGAGACCUUCACCAAGUUUUCCAAGCUUUCUAAGAAGGUGAUAAUAACUGCUUUGCAGAAUUAUCUCAAAGGUAAAAGGAGAUAAGUUACGAAGACUGAUCUAAAAAUAAAUCAAGAUUUGCUCUAGAGUCUCCAUUGGAAUGGCACGAACCUUCUUCCUGCACAUCCAGCAUCUACUAAAGCUCCCACAGUGCAGCUCCCAUAAGCCACACUGACCUUGGAAGGUUCAAAUGCACCUGUUCUCUCAGAUGGACUCUUUCUUACCACCCAUAUCACAUUUUAUCAUUUAUUGAAGGUCAUUAUAUUCUUGUAACCCCAACUGACAAGU